rnacentral:rRNA from 1 species
AUUGAACGCUGGCGGCAUGCUUUAUACAUGCCAGUCGAACGGCCGCGCGGGCUUCUUGCUGGUCUCGAGUUGCGAACGGGUGAGUAAUUCAUAGGAACGUGCCCAGCAGAUGGGGCUAGCAUGGCGAAAGGCGGCUUAAUCUCGUAUACGACCUUAUGGUGAAAGCGGGGGAUCUUUGGACCUCGCGCUAUUUGAUCGCCCUAAGGCAGAUUAGCUAGUUGGUUAGGUAAAGGCCUACCAAGGCGACGAUCCGUAGCUGGUCUGAGAGGACGACCAGCCACACUGGAACUGAGACACGGCCCAGACUCCUACGGGAGGCAGCAGUAGGGAAUUUUGGGCAAUGGGCGAAAGCCUGAUGCAGCAAUGCCGCGUGAGUGAUGAAGGUCUUCGGAUUGUAAAGCACUGUUAGCAGGGACGAAAAAGAGUGUAAGAAUACCUCGGUGCGUUGACGGUACCUGAAGAAUAAGCAACGGCUAACUACGUG